rnacentral:rRNA from 1 species
UACGUAGGUGGCAAGCGUUGUCCGGAUUUACUGGGCGUAAAGAGCGCGCAGGCGGUCGCUCAAGUCGCGUGUGAAAGCCCCCGGCUCAACUGGGGAGGGUCACGCGAUACUGAUCGACUCGAAGGCAGGAGAGGGUAGUGGAAUUCCCGGUGUAGUGGUGAAAUGCGCAGAUAUGUGGAGGAACACCGGUGGCGAAGGCGGAUCUCUGGGAUUGUACUGACGCUGAGGAGCGAAAGCGUGGGGAGCGAACAGG